GGGCCUCUGGGAGCAACUUCUCACAGCUGGGGAAAAGAAGACCCUGGGUGUAAAACGGCUCUGUAGAGUUCCUGACCCCCAAGCCUUUGAUAAACGGGAGCUACUGUUGACAAUUAUAAUUGGUGCACGCAG
rnacentral:lncRNA from 1 species